GACGAACGCUGGCGGCGUGCUUAACACAUGCAAGUCGAACGGAAAGGCCCUGCUCUUGUGGGGUGCUCGAGUGGCGAACGGGUGAGUAACACGUGAGUAACCUGCCCUUGACUUUGGGAUAACUUCAGGAAACUGGGGCUAAUACCGGAUAGGAGCUCCUGCUGCAUGGUGGGGGUUGGAAAGUUUCGGCGGUUGGGGAUGGACUCGCGGCUUAUCAGCUUGUUGGUGGGGUAGUGGCUUACCAAGGCUUUGACGGGUAGCCGGCCUGCGAGGGUGACCGGCCACAUUGGGACUGAGAUACGGCCCAGACUCCUACUGGAGGCAGCAGUGGGGAAUAUUGCACAAUGGGCGGAAGCCUGAUGCAGCAACGCCGCGUGCGGGAUGACGGCCUUCGGGUUGUAAACCGCUUUCGCCUGUGACGAGGCGUGAGUGACGGUAAUGGGUAAAGAAGCACCGGCUAACUACGUG
rnacentral:rRNA from 1 species